rnacentral:lncRNA from 1 species
AAGAUCGUCGCCAAAUUCCAUCGUCAUCUCCACCACCGCAGAUCAUCCUUUGAUCUCCUCGUGAAUUGCAACAGGUUCUGGUUUCCUACCUUACUGCUGCUGCAAUUUAGUUAUCCUUAUUCGAAAAUCUAAAAAAAAAAAAAAAUUCCUAUAUUGCUGCAUAAACCUUUCGUCACAAAGUUUUCAUCUCUACGACGAAAGAUACAUUGCAGAAUUCUAGC